UCCAGCUUCAGGAGGAGUGUGUCUGGAAGUGGGUCUUUGCCACGGUCGGUGCGGGAGUGAGAACAUUCGGGGGAGAAAAAAGACACCACCUUUGACUACUCUCUUCACAGGUUCCCAGUUCUGGAGGUCCAAGGUCAAGGUGCCGACAGAUCCAGUGUCUGGCAGAGGCCUGUUUCCUGGUUCAUAGACGGCCGUCUUCUCACUGUGUCCUCACAUGGAAGAAAAGGUGAGGGAGUUCUCUAAGGUCUCUUUUAUAACAGCACUAAUCCUAGUCACCUCUGAAAGAUCUCAUGUCCAAAUAUCAUCACAUCGGAGAUUAGGUUUGAACAUGUGAAGUUUGGGCAGAGGGGAGAGGAGGGAGGGACACAAACUAAAAGCUUAUUUAGCCUGUAGCACAUAUACGUAUAGAAAAUGGCAUAUAUCAUGAGUCUAUAGCUUGGCAAAUUUUCACAAAUUGAACAUAGCCUGUAACCAACACCCAAAUCGAGAAACAAAACAUCACCUGUGGAAGCUCGUCUCCAAGAUGGCUGCCAUCAAGUCCUUCCCUCUGCGUACGUUAUGCCCCUUGACCAUGGACGUGGAAUCUCUUCCUGUCAUCCCUUGAAUUCAGACUGCCUUAGUGACUUCUUUGACUAAUGGAGUGAAAUGGAAAUGACACUAAGGCUAGGUCAUAAGAAGCCAUGCAGUUUUCACCUGGGUCUCUUGGAAACUCUCUCUCGGGACUCUGAACCACCAUGUAAGAAGUCUACUACCUUGAGGCUGCCACGUUGGAGAGGCCACAUACAGGCACCCCUGUCAACAGUUCCACUGGGUCUCAGAUUUCCGGCGAUCCCUGCACGAAAUGUGUUAGGACAGCUUCUCUGGAGCCUGCAGACUAAUCCGUCUACCAGCUGAACACUAAGUGACCGCCAACAAGACGUUGGUGGAGCAAAGAAUCCCCCAGCACAUCAAAGUCACCUCGUCUCAGCAGCUCUCGAAGUUGCUGAGGACGCUGGCUCCGUGCCACUUACCACCACCACCCCAGCUGGACUGGCGGCAGGCCUGCGUGAGCCUCUGACGGCAGUGCCCUGAAGAUGAGAACACAACCCAGUGGCAACUUGGCUGCAGCCUGUGAGAACCUGAGCAGAGCUAAGCUGUGCAGGGACUCUUGACUCAUGGAAACUGUCUCCCAGGACUCCCAAAUUCCUCAGGCUUAACACCUGCACCUCCCUGGGAGCCAGGAGGCCAAAAUUCCAGAGCUGCACCAGGCGUCCCCUCAUUUGAUGUUGAGGCUGCUGGCCCUCUGUGUGCUGGAGACAAGCCCUGGGUCUGGCCCAGCCUGGCCCAGAAGCCUGCGUGCCACUGCUGGUCUGUUUUCCAAGGAGAGGAGAGUCUGUGGGGACCUCAGGGAUACAGCAAGAGGGAGGCGUACUUGAAAAUGAAGGUAACAAGGACAAAAUCAUUUCCUAAAUUAUAAUUUUAUUUAACAUGGAUGCAAAAGAUGGUCACUGCCUCAAUGAAUAAUGAUAGGUGGGGUGCCCCUGUGCGGGAGCAGAGCUAGGGUGCUGGUCCUGGCAGGGUGGCCUGGCACAUAUGGCAACCUGGACCGUCUUCACUGGGAUAAGUGGGAGGGGCUGGUGGGGGGGAGACUCCGGUCUAAAAAGUGUGCCACGCUCUCAGCAGCAUCGAUGCUGCCUCUGUCCUGGAUAACAUUAGAGUUGAGGGGAUCUUGAGGGCAUGUCCUCCAAAGCCCAUUUCACAAUUAAGGAAACUGGGGCCCAGAGAGUUUCUGGGAACUUUUCCUUUAUCCCGAAUCCUGAAUGUACAAAAAAAGAGUCAACAAUGAACUUGAGCAUAAAGUUUCCAGAUAUAAACCUAAAUGGUCAAUGAGCAGAUGGGAGGAUGUAUAACUUCACUAAUCAAAGAAAUGCUAACUGAAACACUAGAGUGCUAUUUCUUUCCUGUUUUAAGAAAUUUAAAUAGAAUACUCAGAAUUAGGGUAAGCGUUAGGAAACGGCCUCUCUCGUUCACACUGGGGCCACAUGAUUUGAUUGGUGCAACUUUUCUUUUUUUUUUUUCUUGGUACAACUUUU